rnacentral:rRNA from 1 species
UCGCUGUGAAGAUGCAGUGUACCCGCGGCAAGACGGAAAGACCCCGUGAACCUUUACUAUAGCUUGACACUGAACAUUGAGCCUUGAUGUGUAGGAUAGGUGGGAGGCUUUGAAGCGUGGACGCCAGUCUGCGUGGAGCCAACCUUGAAAUACCACCCUUUAAUGUUUGAUGUUCUAACGUGGACCCGUAAUCCGGGUUGCGGACAGUGUCUGGUGGGUAGUUUGACUGGGGCGGUCUCCUCCUAAAGAGUAACGGAGGAGCACGAAGGUUGGCUAAUCCUGGUCGGACAUCAGGAGGUUAGUGCAAUGGCAUAAGCCAGCUUGACUGCGAGCGUGACGGCGCGAGCAGGUGCGAAAGCAGGUCAUAGUGAUCCGGUGGUUCUGAAUGGAAGGGCCAUCGCUCAACGGAUAAAAGGUACUCCGGGGAUAACAGGCUGAUACCGCCCAAGAGUUCAUAUCGACGGCGGUGUUUGGCACCUCGAUGUCGGCUCAUCACAUCCUGGGGCUGAAGUAGGUCCCAAGGGUAUGGCUGUUCGCCAUUUAAAGUGGUACGCGAGCUGGGUUUAGAACGUCGUGAGACAGUUCGGUCC